rnacentral:rRNA from 1 species
AUGGACCAAGAAGGCAUAUUUUCUGUCAAAACGCAACUGCCGGAGAAAGCAACUUGUUUUGCAAAGGUGAGAUCUCUGUACUUGAAGCCAGAACAGACAGAAAAGAUAGUGCCAUACUACUUGGUUGCAAGGUGCGCAAACUGCAAAGUAGGCGUGGAGCUCAUAGUUGAGGAAACAGAGGCUGUCAACCAGUUGGAGUCAAGAUCAAGAUGCACAGGAUCAAGAUGCAUAGAGUCCAUCCUAGUACCUGGUGUGGAGACCUGCUGGAUACGGCGUUCUGCUCAAAGGAAGAUAGUGGGGCUAUAUUAUGUGCGAUGUGGUCCAGUUGGACAGUAUGGAACGGUUGUCACGACGGCGAAGUCCCAAUGA